rnacentral:rRNA from 1 species
UACGGAGGGAGCUAGCGUUAUUCGGAAUUACUGGGCGUAAAGCGUGCGUAGACGGUUACAUAAGUCGGGUGUGAAAGCCCCGGGCUCAACCUGGGAAUUGCAUUCGAGACUGCGUAGCUAGGGUGCGGAAGAGGGAAGCGGAAUUUCCGGUGUAGCGGUGAAAUGCGUAGAUAUCGGAAGGAACACCAGUGGCGAAAGCGGCUUCCUGGUCCAGCACCGACGUUCAGGCACGAAAGCGUGGGGAGCAAACAGGG